GUGCUUGUAGCUCAGCUGGAUAGAGCAACGGCCUUCUAAGCCGUGGGUCGGGGGUUCGAAUCCCUCCAGGCACGCCA
rnacentral:tRNA from 1 species